AGAACAUUGACCUAGUCUCCCACAAGCUGGGCUGCUUGAUGAGAUCAGAAUACCACAAAAGGCUGAGUCCAAGUCCUAAGGCCCACAGCCAGGAACUCAGGGACCUUACCACCGGGGGGAGCUCACAGGAGGACCCCUCAAUCCUGACCUCUGUGUAUCUUAAGGGCAGGAUGUCCUGUGCCCCAGAAUAAGUAAGGAAGGUGACAAAGAAAACUGAAACAAACUCCCUGAGGAAGGGGAUUCUGGACUGCCUUGGUGACUCUGCCUAAUCCAUCAGUCAGGUACUGACUGAGUCUGGCUAGAGUGCUGCCCCUUCAAGGCACCCCCAAGUCUGGUGGAAAUCAAAACAAAAGCAGUCCUCAUAUCCAAAAUACUAAAAUAAUAACAAUAACAUGAACCAACAUUGAGGGUCCAUAUACAGCAUGUACUACACUGAGACUAGCAUUUUCUGUGCAUCAUGAAGGCAACACCAUCAUCCCCAUUUGACCUAUGAGAGAACAUUGAGGCUGGACAUGGUUAAAUAACAUGUCCAGGGCCAUAUUGCCAAGAGGUGGCAGAACCAUGACCUGACCCAGACAGUCUGACUUUAGAGUGCUUACUUGGGAACAAUUUAGAAAGCAGUCAGUCUCCUGAAAUAUUAUUUGAAGAGGAACACCACUUCAUUAUAGUCAUGCACACUGACAAUGGAGUAGGAUAAGAAAGCAUUACCUAGAAAAAUCUUUCAUAACUUAUUUUAGUAAAAGUCUCAGUGGAGUUAAGAAUACUAGCUGUCACUGUACCAGGCAAUGCUUUGAUUUAAGGAUUGGAACUUAGCACCUGAUACCAGCAUGUUUCUCCUGAC
rnacentral:lncRNA from 1 species